UAGGGAAUUUUCCACAAUGGGCGAAAGCCUGAUGGAGCAACGCCGCGUGCAGGAUGAAUGCCUUCGGGUUGUAAACUGCUUUUAUCUGUGACGAUUAUGACGGUAGCAGAUGAAUAAGGAUCGGCUAACUCCGUGCCAGCAGCCGCGGUCAUACGGAGGAUCCAAGCGUUAUCCGGAAUUACUGGGCGUAAAGAGUUGCGUAGGUGGCAGUGUAAGCAGAUAGUGAAAGCCUGGGGCUCAACCCCUUACACAUUAUCUGAACUGCACAGCUAGAGGACGAGAGAGGUUAUUGGAAUUCCUAGUGUAGGAGUGAAAUCCGUAGAUAUUAGGAGGAACACCGAUGGCGUAGGCAGAUAACUGGCUCGUUCCUGACACUAAGGCACGAAAGCAUGGGUAGCAAACGGGAUUAGAUACCCCCGUAGUCC
rnacentral:rRNA from 1 species